CGUGGGUGUUGGAAGCUCAGGUACGAUGCCCUCUCCAGGCAGCUUGUGCGGGGUCCAGCACACAGCAGAUAAACGAGCUUCUCUCCAUCACCACGUGGCUUGGUGUACACCUACACCCAUGGUGCAAAGUGCGAUGUGAACCUGAACUUGCAUCCAUAGCAGAAAACUUCCAAGGGAAGAACCUGCUGUCUGCAUCGGGAUGAGCAGGACCAAGACAAGCGGUCUGAGACCACAGCCAGCUUACCGAGGACCUCAGCGAGGACUCUGUGUGGCCCAUCCACUCAGUGACACCACUCCCGGCCCAGCUUGGUGUCAUCGAUUCUCAGAUGGGAAGCGGAGAUGUCCCAGGAAACACUUUGUCUGUGAGAAGGGAGGAAACGGCCAUUUCCAGGGAACUGGACAGGACUCCUUUUGUAUUUUCCACACAGUACAUGUUAUUAUCAAUCUUGAAAUUCGUCAUCUUUCUUCCUUUUUGCUAGACCAUUAAUAGCUGCUUUUCAAAAUUGCUUUCUUAGUCUGAAUCGCACCAGCAGUGAGCUACCAUUUAAUGAGUACUUGCUAUGUUCCAGGAACUGGCUAAGUGCUUUCAUGGAUGAUCUCAUUCAAUGCUCCUCACAACCCCAUGAAGCGCAUACUAUUAUUAGCCUCAUUUUAAAUGAGGAAACUGAGGC